UUACAUCACCACUAAAUUCAGCAAGUACAGAGGCUGAUUGCAGAGAUAAACAGGCAGAGCCCACUGGAGGCCAGCAUGGAUCCUGUAUGUCUAGAUGUAAGCUCUUUAUCCAUGAGAUACAUCAGCUAACUCAUUAACUAAAGGGAAGCAUCAACACUAAGACAGCUGGGAGUUUCCUGGAGAAGUUCAUACUCUGACUGCCUCAAAUAUUUGUCAACGGGCUGCAGGGGCAGCAGCGGUGGUGCAGCGACUACCUGCAACCCGGGGUGUGACCCUGAAGACCCAGGAUCCAGUCCCACGUCCGGCUCCCUGCAUGGAGCCUGUUUCUCCCUCUGCCUCUCUCUCCGUGUAUCCCAUGAAUAAAUAAAUAAAAUAUUUUAAAAUAUA